UUAUUUAUUUUACUAUAUUGACUUAUUGUUAAACCCGGUCGGACCACGGAUUUUUCAGAGUUCGCUUUAACCUAGCCUUCACCUCUCAACGAUGUGAGGAGUCGCCAGAAACGACACGUGGUUCGGAUUCCACGUUAAGCUGUAGGUCCCCUUUCCCCGGUUGGAUAACUGGGGUAGGUUAGGGACACGCAAGUCGCCGAAGUGGCGUCCAAUUGAAAGACUUGCACCAGGCCACUGUGCCACACGAAA
rnacentral:rRNA from 1 species